rnacentral:rRNA from 1 species
GAUCCUGGCUUAGGAUGAACGCUAGCUACAGGCUAACACAUGCAAGUCGAGGGGCAGCAUGGGAUAGCUUGCUAUUCAGAUGGCGACCGGCGCACGGGUGAGUAACGCGUAUCCAACCUUCCUGCCAGUAGGGAACAGCCCGGCGAAAGUCGGAUUAAUGCCCUAUGUUCUUCAAUGCGGACAUCUAAGUUGAAGGAAAGAUUCAUCGCUGGCAGAUGGGGAUGCGUCCGAUUAGCUUGCCGGCGGGGUAACGGCCCACCGGGGCGACGAUCGGUAGGGGUUCUGAGAGGAAGGUCCCCCACACUGGUACUGAGACACGGACCAGACUCCCACGGGAGGCAGCAGUGAGGAAUAUUGGUCAAUGGGCGUAAGCCUGAACCAGCCAAGUAGCGUGCAGGACGACGGCCCUACGGGUUGUAAACUGCUUUUAUGCGGGGAUAAAGUGCGGCACGUGUGCCGCUUUGCAGGUACCGCAUGAAUAAGGACCGGCUAGUUCCGUGCCAGCCGCCGC